AAGACUAUACUUUCAGGGAUCAUUUCUAUAGUUUCUGACUUGAGAAAUGUGUUUGUUCUUGCUAACCAUGAUGAUGAGUCGUGAUAUUUCCUUCUGAGCAUGAAACUGACAGAGUAAUGUUUUAAUUCAUGUCUUCUGUCAUUGAUGAUUGUUCUGUACUUCUUUAUGGAGUACUGAAGAAGGGAAUAUGAUCAGAGUGGUG
ensembl:snoRNA